GUCGGGAAUAUUGGGCAAUGGGCGAAAGCCUGACCCAGCAACGCCGCGUGCACGAUGAAGGCCUUCGGGUCGUAAAGUGCUUUUUGGGAGGAUGAGGAAGGACAGUACUCCCAGAAUAAGUCACGGCUAACUACGUGCCAGCAGCCGCGGUAAAACGUAGGUGACGAGCGUUAUCCGGAAUUACUGGGCGUAAAGCGCGUGCAGGCGGCUCAGCAAGUCGGGCAUGAAAUCUCCUAGCCUAACUGGGAGACGCUGUCCGAUACUGUUGGGCUUGAGGGCAGUAGAGGGUGGUGGAAUUCCGCAUGUAGUGGUGAAAUGCGUAGAUAUGCGGAGGAACACCAGUGGCGAAAGCGGCCACCUGGACUGCACCUGACGCUGAAGCGCGAAAGCUAGGGGAGCAAACGGGAUUAGAAACCCCAGUAGUCC
rnacentral:rRNA from 1 species